UAACUUUCAACAACGGAUCUCUUGGCUCUCGCAUCGAUGAAGGAGCCAGCGAAAUGCGAUACGUAAUGUGAAUUGCAGAAUUCAGUGAAUCAUCGAAUCUUUGAACGCACCUUGCGCCCCUUGGUAUUCCGAAGGGCACACCCGUUUG
rnacentral:rRNA from 1 species